UCAAACUUGGUCAUUUAGAGGAAGUAAAAGUCGUAACAAGGUUUCCGUAGGUGAACCUGCGGAAGGAUCAUUAACAAGUCUGCUGCGCCCCAUCGAUGCACCAUCGCAUGGGCGACGCCUGCUCCGUGUGCACGUUUGCUCUGCACACGACAUUUCUGCGAAUGCUCUGAUCACACAUUCUUGAACGGCAAACAACUUUUAACAAUGGAUCUCUAGGCUCCCUAAAAGUCGUAACAAGGUUUCCGUAGGUGAACCUGCGGAAGGAUCAUUAACAAGUCUGCUGCGCCCCAUCGAUGCACCAUCGCAUGGGCGACGCCUGCUCCGUGUGCACGUUUGCUCUGCACACGACAUUUCUGCGAAUGCUCUGAUCACACAUUCUUGAACGGCAAACAACUUUUAACAAUGGAUCUCUAGGCUCCCGCAUCGAUGAAGAACGCAGC
rnacentral:misc_RNA from 1 species